CUUUAACAGUUACCAGUAGGAGAUCAGAGGAACAUCAUAACCAUUUAGAUGUGGGUGUCCGGCAUGUUCAACCACCGACAAUUCUCCCAAGAUACCACUUGGGUGGGUCAGGGACUAUGAUCUGCAAGUGCUCAGGACAAUGAAACAUACGUUGGAUAUGCAAUAGUUUGCAUUUCAACAGAUAAGAGCAAGAGAAGGUACACCAGAAGAGGUCUAUGGUUCAAGUGCUACAUUACACCAUUAUCAAAGCGUGAAUUGAAAGACCAAACUAGAUUAACCCCUUAAGGACCAAAAUUCUGGAAUAAAAGGGAAUCAUGACA